UACGUAGGGUGCAAGCGUUGUCCGGAAUUAUUGGGCGUAAAGAGCUCGUAGGCGGUCUGUCGCGUCGGAUGUGAAAAUUCAGGGCUCAACCCUGGACCUGCAUUCGAUACGGGCAGACUAGAGUUCGGUAGGGGAGACUGGAAUUCCUGGUGUAGCGGUGAAAUGCGCAGAUAUCAGGAGGAACACCGGUGGCGAAGGCGGGUCUCUGGGCCGAAACUGACGCUGAGGAGCGAAAGCGUGGGGAGCAAACAGG
rnacentral:rRNA from 1 species